UACGUAGGGUGCGAGCGUUGUCCGGAAUUACUGGGCGUAAAGAGCUUGUAGGUGGUUUGUCGCGUUGUUCGUGAAAUCUCACGGCUCAACUGUGAGCGUGCGGGCGAUACGGGCAGACUAGAGUACUGCAGGGAAGACUGGAAUUCCUGGUGUAGCGGUGGAAUGCGCAGAUAUCAGGAGGAACACCGGUGGCGAAGGCGGGUCUCUGGGCAGUAACUGACGCUGAGAAGCGAAAGCGUGGGGAGCGAACAGG
rnacentral:rRNA from 1 species